rnacentral:misc_RNA from 1 species
GAUGAAGAACGUAGCGAAACGCGAUACGUAAUGUGAAUUGCAGAUUUCAGUGAAUCAUCGAAUCUUUGAACGCACAUUGCGCCCCCUGGUAUUCCGGUGCGCAUGCCUGUCCGAGCGUCAUUGCAACCUUCAAGCGCGGCUUGUGUGUUGGGUCUCGUCCCCCGUGGACGGGCCCGAAAGGCAGUGGCGGCGUCCCGACAUGGUGCCCGAGCGUAUGGGAAUCCUCUUCCGCUCGAAUCGGCCCAUGCGGCGCUGGUCGUAACCAAAUUUUUUACCGGUUGACCUCGGAUCAGGUAGGGAUACCCGCUGAACUUAAGCAUAUCAAUAAGCGGAGGA